UGGGAACGUGCCUUUUGGUUCGGAACAACACAGGGAAACUUGUGCUAAUACCGGAUAAGCCCUUACGGGGAAAGAUUUAUCGCCAAAAGAUCGGCCCGCGUCUGAUUAGCUAGUUGGUGGGGUAAUGGCUCACCAAGGCGACGAUCAGUAGCUGGUCUGAGAGGAUGAUCAGCCACAUUGGGACUGAGACACGGCCCAAACUCCUACGGGAGGCAG
rnacentral:rRNA from 1 species